AUUUUAUUACCAAUUCCUUUCCCUACGCCUUCCAAAGGCUCCAGCAGGGCCCGCUUCGCCUUGCCACCUCCGCCUCCCGCCGGCGGGCCCUAUGCGGAGCGAGCAGGCGGCCCGGGGGCACCUGCACCGCACGCGGCCCCACCGCAGGCCCGCGGCCCGCUGGGGCAGGAGGAGGCCGCGCUGAGCGCAGCGCAGGGCCCGCUACGAGAUAAGGCCGCACGGGGCCGAGCGCCGAGGAGGGGACCCGACCCCCGGAGGUGGAGGGAAGGCUGAGGCGCGGGGAAAGGCCCCAGCGCGCCGUUACCUGUGGCGCCGAGCAUGAAGUCCAGGGUGCUGUGCCGCGCUGCUGCCAUAGUGAGGAAUCUGCAGAAACGAGAUCUAAUGGGAACAAUACGACGGUAUCGGUGAUUUCAUGGCAUUCUGCAGCUUAAGGAAUAAAAAGUUUUACAAGAAAUAAAAAAAAAAGUUUACAAGUAAUCGCUAUUACAUAAGCUAAUGUAUCACAAUCACUAUUUCUGUGCCACAGCCUGAAAUUCACCUCAGGAACUAAAGUUGAAAACAACAUAUUCCUCACAGACCGCAAAGAAAUAUCUUAUAGGAAGACCUUUAUCCUUGUGUUAUUUUAGAUAGUUCACAGAAGAUUUGUUAGCACUCUUAGGACUACCUGUAUAUCUCACAGCUUUGUCACCUGUCAAUAAAGUGGUCAUCUUGUAAUGCUAAAUGAAGCCUUGAAGUCAAACAUGCUUGUUUAACGUGUACAUACACACAGAAUCUUUCACGUCUGAUUCUUUAUAUUCAAAAUAUUGUUAAUUUAUGCUAAACAGGGGCAUUUGUACAGUACAAGCACAAUGUACAUUUGUACAAACAGCACAAUGUGGUAACAGCC
rnacentral:lncRNA from 1 species